rnacentral:rRNA from 2 species
GGACUACUGGGGUAUCUAAUCCUGUUUGCUCCCCACGCUUUCGUGCUUGAACGUCGGCGCUGGACCAGGAAGCCGCUUUCGCCACUGAUGUUCCUUCUGAUAUCUACGCAUUUCACCGCUACACCAGAAAUUCCGCUUCCCUCUUCCGCACCCUAGCUUUGCAGUCUCGAAUGCAAUUCCCAGGUUGAGCCCGGGGCUUUCACACCCGACUUACGAAACCGUCUACGCACGCUUUACGCCCAGUAAUUCCGAUUAACGCUUGCACCCUCUGUAUUACCGCGGCGGCUGGCAC